UGUCUUUUUAUCCCUUCUUUCCCCAGGAAAGCACUGCAAUAAGAGACAGGUUAUCCAGUCUCAUAUGUGAGUUCAAGAAGAGGGCUGCAGUUUGGGGGGAAAAAGCUUCUAAGAGCCUGGGCUCAACUCCAAAGAAAUUGGUCUCAAUUUAGUGAAGAGGCUUGGAUGUGUGUGAAACCCAAAUGAAUGGGCAGCAGGACCAGGGCAAAUACAUUCGGAGCAUAUUGUGCAGAUGCUGCUGUAGCUGGAGAAAGGAAAGACAGUCUGAUUAACCUCAUUCCCUGAUAAAAAUCACACCAAACACUCUGAGAGAAGAGGAUAAACAUCCUGCCUCAAAGUCUCAUUUUACCCAUGUUGCCCUCCAAGUGCUUGAGAAGCCACAGAGGGACUGCACUUUGUCGAUAUCCCAAUGGAAGGCUGAGGUUACCUCCAACACACCAGAAAUUUUUUUUAACACCUUCAGCUUACAAAUCCUUUAUGGAAUUACAAACAAGAGAUUCUCUGGUUUCAAAGGGGUGGCAAAAAAGCAGACUCUCCUCCAGGACAUGGCUCAGUGGAUCGUAUAACCACCUUCCGAAGAGAGAGCCUGAAACACCAGCACCGUCUGCAGCAGCUUUUCACCUUGCCAAGAGCAAGGCUGGG